GAUGAACGCUGGCUACAGGCUUAACACAUGCAAGUCGAGGGGAAACGCCGGGGAAGCUUGCUUCCCCGGGCGUCGACCGGCGCACGGGUGAGUAACGCGUAUCCAACCUGCCUCUGACUGAGGGAUAACCCGUCGAAAGUCGGCCUAAUACCUCAUGGCAUCGUCUGCGGGCAUCCAACGACGAUUAAAGAUUUCAUCGGUCAGGGAUGGGGAUGCGUCUGAUUAGCUAGUUGGCGGGGUAACGGCCCACCAAGGCGACGAUCAGUAGGGGUUCUGAGAGGAAGGUCCCCCACAUUGGAACUGAGACACGGUCCAAACUCCUACGGGAGGCAGCAGUGAGGAAGAUUGGUCAAUGGGCGAGAGCCUGAACCAGCCAAGUAGCGUGCAGGAUGACGGCCCUAUGGGUUGUAAACUGCUUUUAGGCGGGGAUAAAGUGAGGGACGUGUCCUUCAUUGCAGGUACCGCAUGAAUAAGAACCGGCUAAUUCCGUG
rnacentral:rRNA from 1 species